CCAGUGUCUAAGGAAUGCCUGG
rnacentral:piRNA from 1 species